CGACUUCGGUCAAAUGACUUUUGAACUUAGUGGCGGACGGGUGAGUAACGCGUGAGCAACCUGCCUUUCAGAGGGGGAUAACAUUUGGAAACAGAUGCUAAUACCGCAUAAUGUUUCUGGACCGCAUGAUCUGGAAACCAAAGAUUUAUCGCUGAAAGAUGGCCUCGCGUCUGAUUAGCUAGUUGGUGAGGUAACGGCCCACCAAGGCGACGAUCAGUAGCCGGACUGAGAGGUUGAACGGCCACAUUGGGACUGAGAUACGGCCCAGACUCC
rnacentral:rRNA from 1 species